UAAAGAUCCAUUUCUUCAAUUUUUUGUUAAAUCAAAUCUUAUUAAUUGCAUUUUUCUCAAUUCAGGCAACAAUAUCAUGUUAAUGAUUUCCAGAUGGAAGGCUUGAGUCAUCAUUUUUGAAGUAUUUGAUCCUGAGAUCUCCCAAUAGAGAAAAACUCCACAUGUUGGGAAAAAUGGAUUGCAAUUCAUUUUGAUGAAGAAGCUUUUGGUCUUCGGGAAGAGCUGGCUGAAUUGAAAGCUAUGUGCUUUGGUAUCGAAUCUACAUAAAAGGAAGGUAGAUAGCAUUUCUAUUAUGUUAAAAACAAUGUAUUUACAUAUCUGAGGAUUGUGACAAUGUUGCAGAUAGCAUGGUAAGAAUCACUGUAAACCAGGGCUCAAAUAUAUUAUCUGUAAAUGUCAGAAAGUAUCAUUAAUUUGUUUUUAAUUGACAAAUAAAAGUUCAGUUUUUAGCCCUCAUCCUAGUAUUUUCAAAUAUUCCUUCAUGAUAAAAAUGUACUUGUGGUUGAUAGGCCAGAAAACCAGACUUAUUCUACGUGCUUUCCACUCACAGGAGCCUCUUCCACUGAAGGCUUUUACACAGUCCCAUCCUUCGCUACAUCAAAGUCACUGCUGGUACCCUCACAUUUACCCAGGUGUAUAUGUCAGCCUUUCUUUCCUUCUUGACUCAGCUCCAGCUCUUGAGAUGGCUCUGUCAAUGUUUCCCAAGUGAGGCAAGGGUAACAGUGAUGGAGCCCAUUGACCGCAUGUCUGUUUAACAGUGGCAAGAAGGACCAAAGGAGAUGAGCAGGCUGUAGAAGAGUAAACACGAUGGGCUUUAGGGACCAAGUGAGAAAAUAAACUACUACCGAACCGAUGACCUUAGGAACUACUUGAGCACUAUGACCUUAUUCUAUCAAUAGAGAGAGGCCUAGGGAAAGUGUGGGCCUGGGGUCAGCUCACCUUCAAGAGAGAACCAAGAAAGAAGAGCAGCUGGAAUAUGGCCCUCAAGAGGAAGGACGGAAGUUAGGAGAGGUAGAGGGAGAAGAAU
ensembl:lncRNA